AUUCUAGAGCUAAUACAUGCUGUAAAGCCCGACUUUUCGGAAGGGCCGUAUUUAUUAGAUAACAGACCAAUAUUCCUCGUGUCUAUUGUGGUGACUCAUAGUAACUGAUCGGAUCGCACGGGCGUGCCCGCGACAAACCAUUCAAGUUUCUGCCCCAUCAGCUUUCGAUGGUAGUGUAUUGGACUACCAUGGCUUUUACGGGUAACGGAGGAUUAGGGUUCGAUUCCGGAGAGGGAGCCUGAGAAACGGCUACCACAUCUAAGGAAGGCAGCAGGCGCGUAAAUUACCCAAUCCUGACUCAGGGAGGUAGUG
rnacentral:rRNA from 1 species